rnacentral:rRNA from 1 species
UACAGGGGGUGCAAACGUUGCUCGGAAUUAUUGGGCGUAAAGCGCACGUAGGCGGCUUUGCAAGUCGGAUGUGAAAUCCCUCGGCUUAACCAAGGAAGUGCAUCCGAAACUGCAGAGCUUGAGUACUUAAGAGGAUCGCGGAAUUCCCGGUGUAGAGGUGAAAUUCGUAGAUAUCGGGAGGAACACCAGUGGCGAAGGCGGCGAUCUGGGAAGAUACUGACGCUGAGGUGCGAAAGCGUGGGGAGCAAACAGG